GGAGGGGUACCGAAGUGGUCAUAACGGGGCGGUCUCGAAAACCGUUUUGCCUUUUACGGCAACAUGGGUUCGAAUCCCAUCCCCUCCG
rnacentral:tRNA from 1 species